rnacentral:rRNA from 1 species
AUGAUUAUCUCUUUUGAUUUUGUAUUCAUUAUGCACCUCAUGGAGAAAAUUAUGAAGAUCACAGAUGUUUUAUGUCAAAUGCUCCAAAGGAAGUCUCUGGAUAUUUUAAACGCAUUAGAUUGUGUUGCAAACACAAAGUUUCUACUUGCUGAACUAAGAGAAGAUGGCUGGGAACCACUUCUAAAAGAGGUUAAAUCUUUUUGUCUGAAGCAUGAUAUUGACACCCCCGAUUUUAGUUCCAAGUACGUUGAUAUGACUAAAUCUCGAAACAAGCAUGACAACACCACAACACUUCACCACUAUAAAGCAGAUGUAUUCAAUGUUGCCAUAGAUCAACAACUGGUCGAGCUAAAUGACCGGUUCAGCAUUCAAAGCACUGAGCUAUUGAGGCUUUGUGUAUCCUUGAAUCCACUGCAUGACACAUUUGAUGUGAUAAAGAUAUGCACUCUAGCAGAAAAGUUUUAUCCUGCUGAUUUUUCUAACCAAGACUUGGCUCGGUUAGAGUCUCAACUUAUCCAUUUCAGAAUGGAUGUUUGCUCACAUCCAGAACUAUUGCGGUUGGUUAUUACUCUUCCAGUUUCAACGACAAACACUGAGCGAGCCUUUUCUGCUAUGAAACUAGUGAAGACGCGUCUUCGAGGCAAAAUGGGUGAUGACUUUCUUCAACAUUACAUGAUUGUCUACACUGGAAAGGAUAUAGCUGCAAAAGUCACAUCUGAUGAGAUUAUCCACAUUUUCGACGAUGGUACUCGUAGAGCUGAAUUUCAGUUGAUAGAUAUGUAA